rnacentral:rRNA from 1 species
AUUGAACGCUGGCGGCAUGCCUUACACAUGCAAGUCUAACGGCAGCACUGGUGCUUGCACCUGGUGGCGAGUGGCGAACGGGUGAGUAAUACAUCGGAACAUGUCCUGUAGUGGGGGAUAGCCCGGCGAAAGCCGGAUUAAUACCGCAUACGAUCUACGGAUGAAAGCGGGGGACCUUCGGGCCUCGCGCUAUAGGGUUGGCCGAUGGCUGAUUAGCUAGUUGGUGGGGUAAAGGCCUACCAAGGCGACGAUCAGUAGCUGGUCUGAGAGGACGACCAGCCACACUGGGACUGAGACACGGCCCAGACUCCUACGGGAGGCAGCAGUGGGGAAUUUUGGACAAUGGGCGAAAGCCUGAUCCAGCAAUGCCGCGUGUGUGAAGAAGGCCUUCGGGUUGUAAAGCACUUUUGUCCGGAAAGAAAUCCUUGGCUCUAAUACAGUCGGGGGAUGACGGUACCGGAAGAAUAAGCACCGGCUAACUACGUG